GAAGGCUUUAGGGUUUCGAUCAUCGACAAUCUUGAUAAUUCCAUCACCGAAGCUGUUGAUAGGGGUGAUCUUAGGAAUAAGGACUUGGAGAAGCUCUUUUCUCAAACACAAUUUGAUGCUUUGAUCCAUUUU